rnacentral:rRNA from 1 species
GACGAACGCUGGCGGCAUGCCUAAUACAUGCAAGUCGAGCGAACAGAUGAAGUGCUUGCACUUCUGACGUUAGCGGCGAACGGGUGAGUAACACGUAAGGAAUCUACCUAUAAGCGGGGGAUAACAUUCGGAAACGGGUGCUAAUACCGCAUAAUAGCUUCUUCCGCAUGGAAGAAGAUUGAAAGACGGCUCUGCUGUCACUUAUAGAUGACCUUGCGGUGCAUUAGUUAGUUGGUGGGGUAAUAGCCUACCAAGACGAUGAUGCAUAGCCGACCUGAGAGGGUGAUCGGCCACAUUGGGACUGAGACCCGGCCCAAACUCCUACGGGAGGCAGCAGUAGGGAAUCUUCCGCAAUGGGCGAAAGCCUGACGGAGCAAUGCCGCGUGAGUGAAGAAGGCCUUCGGGUCGUAAAACUCUGUUAUAAGAGAAGAACAAAUUGUAGAGUAACUGCUACAGUCUUGACGGUAUCUUAUCAGAAAGCCACGGCUAACUACGUGCCAGCAGCCGCCGUAA